rnacentral:rRNA from 1 species
UUGAAGCGUCCAGGCCGUAUGGCCGAUGUUGGGUGAGGGAGUCUCAAGAAAAGCCUUGCCGGACGACUGUAGAGUCCGUACCAAAACUGACACAGGUGGGCGUGGCGAAUAGCCUCAGGGGCUCGAGAAAACGGUCCUGAAGGAACUAGGCAAAUUAACCCCGUAAGUUCGCGAUAAGGGGGCCCUACUCGUAAGAGAGGGCGCAGAGAAAAGGCUCUGGGAACUGUUUAUCAAAAACACAGCACUGUGCUAACUCGCAAGAGGAUGUAUACAGUGUGACGCUUGCCCGGUGCCGGAACGUCAAGGGAGCUGGUUAGCGCAAGCGAAGCUGGCGACCGAAGCGCCGGUAAACGGCGGCCGUAACUCUGACGGUCCUAAGGUAGCGAAGUUCCUUGUCGGGUAAGUUCCGACGCGCAUGAAUAGCGUAAUCACUGGAGCACUGUCUCCAGGACCGACUCGGUGAAAUAGUAGUGGCGGUGAAGAUGCCGCCUACCCGCAGCAAGACGGAAAGACCCCGUGGACCUUUACUGUACGCUUGCAGUGAUCAUGGAUUUGUUCUGCGUAGCAUAGGUGGGAGCCUGCGAAACCCAGCUUUCGGGCUGAGUGGAGGCUCAGGUGAAAUACCACCCUGAACGAAUUCGUGGUCUAACCCCGAUUCCCAUGAAACUGGGCGGGGAACACUGCAUGCCGGGCAGUUUGACUGGGGCGGUCUCCUCCCAAAAAGUAACGGAGGAGUGCAAAGGUUGGCUCAGCGCGGUUGGAAACCGCGCCAAGAGUGCAAGAGCAUAAGCCAGCUUUAGUGCGAGCCAUACACGGCAAGCACUCUCGAAAGAGGGCUCUAGUGAUCCGGCGAUCCCGUGUGGAAGGGUCGUCGCUCAACGGAUAAAAGGUACCCCGGGGAUAACAGGCUGAUCGCUCCCGAGCGUCUAUAGCGGCGGAGCGGUUUGGCACCUCGAUGUCGGCUCAUCACAUCCUGGGGCUGAAGGCGGUCCCAAGGGUUGGGCUGUUCGCCCAUUAAAGUGGUACGCGAGCUGGGUUCAGACCGGCGUGAGCCAGGUCGGUCCCUAUCUGCUGUGGGCGUAGGAAUGUUGAGAGGAUACAAUCUUAGUACGAGAGGAUUGGAUUGGACGUACCCCUGGUGUGCCAGUUGGACCGCUCGGUCCACAGCUGGGUAGCUACGUACGGCAGGGAUAACCGCUGAAAGCAUCUAAGCGGGAAGCCCACCUCAAGAUGAACAUUCCAUGUCGCAAGACGAAAGACCCCCGGUAGACCACCGGGUUGAUAGGACGCGUGUGUAAGCGAAGAGAUUCGUUUAGCUAAGCGUUACUAACGGUCGACGGUUUGGCC